ensembl:lncRNA
UUAUGACUCAUACGGUGGUACUCCAUAUAGCCAAGCCUUCAUUAUUGGGGACAAGUGCCGGGGUCAGCGAAGCUCCCAAGUGACCAGCGACAGGGCCAACAGCCAACUGACUGCCUACUCUACUCUGACCUCCCUUCAUUAGUAACCCCUGGGCUUCUCCUCAGACCUGGUGCUGCUGGGGGGACCUAUUUGUGGUCCUCCACUCAUCUGAGGGGAAGGGGAUAGAGGGAUAGAGACUGAAGGAACAACAGCUGCUGAUGGGGACCUCACGCUUCCCAUGGAAGAGCAGCAUCCUCCUGAGAGAAGGUGCUGUAAUCUGCAGUAAUCGAAUUCUCAGACAUACAUGAUAGCCACAGUAUGUCUCGAAGCCACAUUGUAUGUGAGUGAACACAUGACAUUGAACAUAUUGACACAUGACGUUGUGUGAUCUGUAUUGUAUUUACAAAAACAAUCAACAGUGCAAGUCGCAUGAUGAUCUUACACGGAAAGCUCUUGAAAACUUUCACAGACACACAAAAACAUAGAGAUAUUAAAACCGUUAUACAAGCAGUGUUAAAUGGACAAAGUGUAAUUAAAUGUAUUUUGUGUUAAGAGAAUCUGCUGGGGUGCCAGAGGAAUGCAAAGAAUUGUAGGCACUUUUUUCUGACACGGUAUAGUGAUGCCAUCAUGAGUUGCAAUGGGAAACAUUUACACACAGCAAAGAGCCCAGUGGGUUCACUAGUAGCAAUACAAGGUGACAUCAUCUGUCUGAUAAACAGUCUUGUGUCUGUUUAAUAAUUGAUUUAAUAAGGUAUUAUUUACUUAACUGACUUGAUUUUGAGUGAAUCUGGAUUCUGUUUAUUCGACAUAUUUAACUUGGUUUAAAAUAAUCAUACAUGUAUGAAAAAAGUCAACCAUCCUAAAUUGGUUUAGACAUGAUUCUUCUGCCCCCUGGCUGUGUAUAUAGAUAAAUAUAAUGUCUCCUAUUGCCAUGGAAGUGUUGGUCUUAACCAAUAUAUCCGUUAAACAAUGUAAACUACGGUUUGGUGCCAUUAUUGCUUAAGCGAUCUCUAUUUGGCACAACAUUUAAAAACAAUGUAACUGAGAAUCAAAAUGGCAUGCCCAUACUUCAAUAUUUCACUAUAACGCCUUGCGAUCUUUGAGGCAGCCUUUUGCAUUCCCCCCAAUAGUCCAAAUGUGGAAUCUGUAUCCUUGCCGUUAUCAAGGACAGUAAUGGUUUGAGAACACUCCAAAAUUUGAAAGGCA